AGACACAAAGAUUACAGAGUGUAAAAUAAUUCAAACAAGAUAACCAACUAUCAAUGAUUCCUCUUAAACCAGCCAACUCACUGAAACUAAACAUAAAAGCCAAUUACAGUCAUAUUCACAAUAGGUACUAUUUUGGGUCAACAGGGAAUUCAAAAUACCAUCAAAGGCAAUGAAAGUCAACAUGAAAACUCAAUAGCUAUAGUAUAUUGACUUUAGUUUAAUUUUCAUCUACACUGCUACUUUUGCAUGGGUACAAAUCAAGUACUGUAAAAUACAGAUACAUGUACCUAAAUAUUACAAUAAUUUAAAGUAACACAAUAGCACUGAAAAUUAAAAGUAGUACUACAGAUUUUUUGUACAAGAAUAGUAUGCAAAAGUAGCUGUGUAGGUUUAAUACACAUGGUUUCAGUUUUCAAGAAUAUAUGAA
rnacentral:lncRNA from 1 species